CCUACGGGAGGCAGCAGUGAGGAAUAUUGGUCAAUGGACGAGAGUCUGAACCAGCCAAGUAGCGUGAAGGAUGACUGCCCUAUGGGUUGUAAACUUCUUUUAUAGGGGAAUAAAAUGGUCCACGUGUGGGAUUUUGUAUGGACCAUAUGAAUAAGGAUCGGCUAACUCCGUGCCAGCAGCCGCGGUAAUACGGAGGAUCCGCGCGUUAUCCGGCUUUAUUGGGUUUCAAGGGAGCGUAGGUGGAUUGUUACGUCCGUUGUGAAAGUUUGCGGCUCCACCGUAAAAUUGCAGUUGAAACUGGCAGUCUUGAGUACAGUAGAGGUGGGCGGAAUUCGUGGUGUAGCGG
rnacentral:rRNA from 1 species